CAAAAUAAAGCUUAAGUAGUUAAGUAUUUCAUUUACACUGAGAGGAAAAUCUGUGCAAUUCAGUUUAUUUUGA
rnacentral:tRNA from 1 species